rnacentral:misc_RNA from 1 species
AACGCACCUUGCGCUCCUUGGUAUUCCGAGGAGCAUGCCUGUUUGAGUGUCAUUAAAUUCUCAACUCCAAAGGGUUUCACGACCUCUUGGAGAUUGGACUUGGAGCGUGCCGGCGUCCACGUCGGCUCCUCUCAAAUGCAUCAGCGGAAUUCAAUCUUUGGGCUUCCGGAGUCAGUGUGAUAAUCAUGUUGCGCUGUCGUCGGAAUCCUCAGAGUCCGCUCAUAAUGGUCUUUGGACAAAUCAUCAUCAAAUUUGACCUCAAAUCAGGUAGGACUACCCGCUGAACUUAA